rnacentral:ncRNA from 1 species
CACCGCCCGUCGCUCCUACCGAUUGAAUGGUCCGGUGAAGUGUUUGGAUCGAGGCGACGUGGGCGGUUCGCUGCCCGCGACGUCGCGAGAAGUCCACUGAACCUUAUCAUUUAGAGGAAGGAGAAGUGGUAACAAGGUUUCCGUAGGUGAACCUGCGGAAG